rnacentral:rRNA from 1 species
GGGAAUCGGAACACAGGUGCUGCAUGGCUGUCGUCAGCUCGUGUCGUGAGAUGUUGGGUUAAGUCCCGCAACGAGCGCAACCCUUAUCAUUAGUUGCUACGCAAGGGCACUCUAAUGAGACUGCCGGUGACAACCGGAGGAAGGUGGGGAUGACGUCAAGUCCUCAUGGCCCUUAUGGGUAGGGCUUCACACGUCAUACAAUGGUCGGUACAGAGGGUUGCCAAGCCGCGAGGCGGAGCCAAUCCCACAAAGCCGAUCGUAGUCCGGAUUGUUCUCUGCAACUCGAGAGCAUGAAGUCGGAAUCGCUAGUAAUCGCAGGUCAGCAUACUGCGGUGAAUACGUUCCCGGGUCUU